GCCUUUCUAUUUCUUUCCAUGGGUUUCGUAAACUUUUGUUUAUGAAGGAGGCCUGUCAGGAACAAUGCAAUUAGGAAUCUGUCCAUCUGAGCCUCUGCUUUGCUUCACUUAAAAAAAAUAAACAUUUUCAUUUUGCUCAUUGAAAGAAUACGGGAAAGGAUGAGAAUGGAGACAUCCAUUCUGGCUCCAAGCCAACCCAGUUUGGCCACGAAGCAAGUUUCCUAUAAUUUAAAGAUAUGCUACAAAAGAAACCCAUUGUUGUUCUAGUCUUUAUUCGAUUGUUUGCAACUUAAAAAAAAAAAAAAAAAAAAAAAAAAAAAGCAGUAAACUCCUAACUUUUCAAAUUAGUUUAAAAAAUAAUUCUUAGAAUGUUCUUUCCCAGAAGAUAGGCUGGCUCCUGUGCGCAGUCCCUCCUCCUGCACGCAGCCCUGAUACAAUGGCUGGCUCCAGAGCAGCAGCCUUCAGAUGCAGUUUUGCAACUCCUUCUCAGAUGAGUAAUCCUUACUUCUGUCCCACUCACAUGAGUAAGGGAUACUUAAGUAAGAAAUGGUUGAAGGGUCUGGCAUCGUGACAGCGGCGGAGGAACGAAUUGAGCAAUGGCUUUUGAAAGCGACCGUCAGCGUCUCUUGACACAGGCUCCCCCCAGAUGUUUCCACCCCUGCUCCUGCACAGAAAGGCUCGCCAUGGUCCUGCUCUGCUGUGGCAUGAACGAGGUGUUUCUGAAGCUGGAAAAAGUCAGUCUGAGCUAUUUUCUAAAUGUCAUUUUAUAGAUAAAAGGUAUUGAAAAGAUGCAGUAGUGAAGAAGAGGUGCAAUUGUGCUCAUUUUUACCUCUUCCAGGAGUGCUGAUGGUGGUGGCCAGAGCAACCAUCUCUUCAUCUCUUCACUCACUGGCUCUUCUGCCCUGGAAAGGUACCAGCUGGUGACAUUUAUCCAUGCACAAGGUGAGCAGCCUGGCAUUUAGGCAGACCAAAUCCUGCCCCUUUUUAAGCUUGUUGUGUUUUUGCACUGGCUUUUUGCAAGGCCAAGGUUUUAUACAGAGUAGGUGAGGAUGCUAAAGCACUUG
rnacentral:lncRNA from 1 species